CCCAUUGGUGAAGGAGCAGGACUCGAGGCUUCACCAUAGCCAGCUGAUGAAGAAGAACUCCAGGCUUCGCCAUAGCCCAUUGGUGACGGAGCAGGACUCGAGGCUUCACCAGAGCUAGUGGAUGAAGAAGGACCACAGGCAACACUAGAGCUAGUUGAUGACGAAGAUCCCCAGGCUAUCCGAGAGUUUUUGGCCGAAGCAGGUCCCCAGGCUGCACCAGAGCUCUUAAUAUCAGACAUGGCACGCCUUGGAUUGGUUCGUUGAGCUUCACAGAGACUGGGCAAAUACAC
rnacentral:lncRNA from 1 species